CCUACGGUGGCUGCAGUGGGGAAUAUUGGACAAUGGGCGAAAGCCUGAUCCAGCCAUGCCGCGUGUGUGAAGAAGGCCUUCGGGUUGUAAAGCACUUUCAGUGGGGAAGAAAGCCUUGGGGCUAAUACCCUCGAGGAAGGACAUCACCCACAGAAGAAGCACCGGCUAACUCCGUGCCAGCAGCCGCGGUAAUACGGAGGGUGCGAGCGUUAAUCGGAAUUACUGGGCGUAAAGCGCGCGUAGGCGGUCUGAUAAGCCGGUUGUGAAAGCCCCGGGCUCAACCUGGGAACGGCAUCCGGAACUGUCAGGCUAGAGUGCAGGAGAGGAAGGUAGAAUUCCCGGUGUAGCGGUGAAAUGCGUAGAGAUCGGGAGGAAUACCAGUGGCGAAGGCGGCCUUCUGGACUGACACUGACGCUGAGGUGCGAAAGCGUGGGUAGCAAACAGGAUUAGAUACCCCAGUAGUC
rnacentral:rRNA from 1 species